rnacentral:rRNA from 1 species
AUAUUUUGAAAUGGAUUUUUUUGUUUUGGCAAGAGCAUGAGAGCUUUUACUGGGCAAGAAGACAAGAGAUGGAGAGUCCAGCCGGGCCUGCGCUUAAGUGCGCGGUCUUGCUAGGCUUGUAAGUUUCUUUCUUGCUAUUCCAAACGGUGAGAGAUUUCUGUGCUUUUGUUAUAGGACAAUUAAAACCGUUUCAAUACAACACACUGUGGAGUUUUCAUAUCUUUGCAACUUUUUCUUUGGGCAUUCGAGCAAUCGGGGCCCAGAGGUAACAAACACAAACAAUUUUAUCUAUUCAUUAAAUUUUUGUCAAAAACAAGAAUUUUCGUAACUGGAAAUUUUAAAAUAUUAAAAACUUUCAACAACGGAUCUCUUGGUUCUCGCAUCGAUGAAGAACGCAGCGAAAUGCGAUACGUAAUGUGAAUUGCAGAAUUCCGUGAAUCAUCGAAUCUUUGAACGCACAUUGCGCCCCUUGGUAUUCCAGGGGGCAUGCCUGUUUGAGCGUCAUUUCCUUCUCAAACAUUCUGUUUGGUAGUGAGUGAUACUCUUUGGAGUUAACUUGAAAUUGCUGGCCUUUUCAUUGGAUGUUUUUUUUCCAAAGAGAGGUUUCUCUGCGUGCUUGAGGUAUAAUGCAAGUACGGUCGUUUUAGGUUUUACCAACUGCGGCUAAUCUUUUUUUAUACUGAGCGUAUUGGAACGUUAUCGAUAAGAAGAGAGCGUCUAGGCGAACAAUGUUCUUAAAGUUUGACCUCAAAUCAGGUAGGAGUACCCGCUGAACUUAAGCAUAUCAUA